UACAGAGGGUGCGAGCGUUAAUCGGAAUUACUGGGCGUAAAGGGUGCGUAGGUGGUUGAAUAAGUUAGGUGUGAAAGUCCUGGGCUUAACCUGGGGAUUGCGCCUAAUACUGUUUUACUAGAGUACUGUAGAGGAAGGUGGAAUUUCCGGUGUAGCGGUGAAAUGCGUAGAUAUCGGAAGGAACACCAGUGGCGAAGGCGACCUUCUGGACAGUUACUGACACUGAGGCACGAAAGCAUGGGGAGCAAACAGG
rnacentral:rRNA from 1 species